rnacentral:rRNA from 1 species
CCUACGGGUGGCAGCAGUGAGGAAUAUUGGUCAAUGGACGAGAGUCUGAACCAGCCAAGUAGCGUGAAGGAUGACUGCCCUAUGGGUUGUAAACUUCUUUUAUAUGGGAAUAAAAUGUUCCACGUGUGGGAUUUUGUAUGUACCAUAUGAAUAAGGAUCGGCUAACUCCGUGCCAGCAGCCGCGGUAAUACGGAGGAUCCGAGCGUUAUCCGGAUUUAUUGGGUUUAAAGGGAGCGUAGGUGGAUUGUUAAGUCAGUUGUGAAAGUUUGCGGCUCAACCGUAAAAUUGCAGUUGAAACUGGCAGUCUUGAGUACAGUAGAGGUGGGCGGAAUGCGUGGUGUAGCGGUGAAAUGCUUAGAUAUCACGAAGAACUCCGAUUGCGAAGGCAGUUCACUGGACUGCAACUGACGCUGAGGCUCGAAAGUGUGGGUAUCAAACAGGAUUAGAUACCCCAGUAGUC